rnacentral:rRNA from 1 species
GACGAACGCUGGCGGCGUGCUUAACACAUGCAAGUCGAACGGAAAGGCCCUGCUUUUGUGGGGUGCUCGAGUGGCGAACGGGUGAGUAACACGUGAGUAACCUGCCCUUGACUUUGGGAUAACUUCAGGAAACUGGGGCUAAUACCGGAUAGGAGCUCCUGCUGCAUGGUGGGGGUUGGAAAGUUUCGGCGGUUGGGGAUGGACUCGCGGCUUAUCAGCUUGUUGGUGGGGUAGUGGCUUACCAAGGCUUUGACGGGUAGCCGGCCUGAGAGGGUGACCGGCCACAUUGGGACUGAGAUACGGCCCAGACUCCUACGGGAGGCAGCAGUGGGGAAUAUUGCACAAUGGGCGGAAGCCUGAUGCAGCAACGCCGCGUGCGGGAUGACGGCCUUCGGGUUGUAAACCGCUUUCGCCUGUGACGAGGCGUGAGUGACGGUAAUGGGUAAAGAAGCACCGGCUAACUACGUGCCAGCAGCCGCGGUGAUACGUAGGGUGCGAGCGUUGUCCGGAUUUAUUGGGCGUAAAGGGCUCGUAGGUGGUUGAUCGCGUCGGAAGUGUAAUCUUGGGGCUUAACCCUGAGCGUGCUUUCGAUACGGGUUGACUUGAGGAAGGUAGGGGAGAAUGGAAUUCCUGGUGGAGCGGUGGAGUGCGCAGAUAUCAGGAGGAACACCAGUGGCGAAGGCGGUUCUCUGGGCCUUUCCUGACGCUGAGGAGCGAAAGCGUGGGGAGCGAACAGGCUUAGAUACCCUGGUAGUCCACGCUGUAAACGGUGGGUACUAGGUGUGGGGUCCAUUCCACGGGUUCCGUGCCGUAGCUAACGCUUUAAGUACCCCGCCUGGGGAGUACGGCCGCAAGGCUAAAACUCAAAGGAAUUGACGGGGCCCCGCACAAGCGGCGGAGCAUGCGGAUUAAUUCGAUGCAACGCGUAGAACCUUACCUGGGUUUGACAUGGAUCGGGAGUGCUCAGAGAUGGGUGUGCCUCUUUUGGGGUCGGUUCACAGGUGGUGCAUGGCUGUCGUCAGCUCGUGUCGUGAGAUGUUGGGUUAAGUCCCGCAACGAGCGCAACCCUUGUUCACUGUUGCCAGCACGUUAUGGUGGGGACUCAGUGGAGACCGCCGGGGUCAACUCGGAGGAAGGUGGGGAUGACGUCAAGUCAUCAUGCCCCUUAUGUCCAGGGCUUCACGCAUGCUACAAUGGCUGGUACAGAGAGUGGCGAGCCUGUGAGGGUGAGCGAAUCUCGGAAAGCCGGUCUCAGUUCGGAUUGGGGUCUGCAACUCGACCUCAUGAAGUCGGAGUCGCUAGUAAUCGCAGAUCAGCAACGCUGCGGUGAAUACGUUCCCGGG